rnacentral:rRNA from 1 species
CGUAACAAGGUCUCCGUAGGUGAACCUGCGGAGGGAUCAUUACACAAAUAUGAAGGCGGGCUGGAACCUCUCGGGGUUACAGCCUUGCUGAAUUAUUCACCCUUGUCUUUUGCGUACUUCUUGUUUCCUUGGUGGGUUCGCCCACCACUAGGACAAACGUAAACCUUUUGUAAUUGCAAUCAGCGUCAGUAACAAAUUAAUAAUUACAACUUUCAACAACGGAUCUCUUGGUUCUGGCAUCGAUGAAGAACGCAGCGAAAUGCGAUAAGUAGUGUGAAUUGCAGAAUUCAGUGAAUCAUCGAAUCUUUGAACGCACAUUGCGCCCUUUGGUAUUCCAAAGGGCAUGCCUGUUCGAGCGUCAUUUGUACCCUCAAGCUUUGCUUGGUGUUGGGCGUCUUGUCUCUAGCUUUGCUGGAGGCUCGCCUUAAAGUAAUUGGCAGCCGGCCUACUGGUUUCGGAGCGCAGCACAAGUCGCACUCUCUAUUAGCAAAGGUCUAGCAUCCAUUAAGCCUUUUUUUCAACUUUUGACCUCGGAUCAGGUAGGGAUACCCGCUGAACUUAAGCAUAUCA